rnacentral:misc_RNA from 1 species
CGAAAAUCAUAAAUGGAACAAAGCCUAGAAAAUUAAGAUAGAAAAAACCAAACACAUGAUAUUGAUAUGAACUCCGUCUGUUGUAGAUAAAAAUUCACAGCCAUAUAUAUUCACAACUUUCGCCAGGGCCCCACCCUAAAAAUAAAAAUUCUUACAAACUUGGUGUCUGGCUAUGCCACGUACGCAACUUCCCUACAUAUGGGACCCAUCUAAUCUUCACACCACGUCAUCUCUUACAACAUCCACCCUAUAAUUUUCCAUAGUUUAAAAUCCCCUCUCUAUCAUCACUGCUGCCAGUGAAACUCCAGAGCCCAUGGCACCCCUAGUCCUUACUCUACUUCUUCAUUUCUCAAUAGCUCUAUCCAGUGCUUCGCCGGACCAUGAAUCAUCCGGCGCCACCACCAUCAUCUUCGCCACGCUCGGUAGCAGAUCAACCUACGCUUUCGACAUCUUUACUCUCCCCACUCGUGCCUCACCUUCCUCCGCCGACGAGAUCCAGCUCACCGACGGCAAAUCGCUUAAUUUCAACGGUUUCUUUCCUUCUCUGUCUUCUUCUCUCCUCUCUCUCUUACCUAAUCAAACCCUGAUACAGACCUUGGGCCCGCAAAACUCUGCACCUUUGAGCGUUGUCUAUGUCACGGAGCGCGGUGGAUCGUCCAAUAUCUUCUACGAUUUAGUUUAUUUGAAUAGCCUGCAAAGCAGUAGAUCGAGGUCUGCCCUUGAAAUCCCCGAACGCGUUCAAGUGCCGCUGCUGAAGGGCAAAAAAGGAAUUGCAAUGAAGGAUAAGCCUACUGUGACCGGAGAUUAUCUGAUAUAUGUGUCCACGCAUGAGGAUCCUGGGAAGCCUAGGGCGAGUUGGGCUGCUGUGUACUCGACGGAGUUGAAAACCGGGGUGACUCGGAGACUCACCCCUUAUGGGAUCGCCGAUUUUAGCCCUGCGGUUUCUCCUUCUGGGGUUUAUACAGCUGUGGCGUCUUAUGGGGAGAGUGGGUGGAAUGGUGACGUAGAGGAAUUGAGUACUGAUAUCUACGUGUUCUUGACUCGUGACGGGACUCAACGGGUUAAGGUUGUUGAACACGGCGGGUGGCCCAGUUGGGUAGACGAUUCAACGCUUUACUUUCACAGAAGAAGCGAAGAAGAUGAAUGGAUAAGCGUUUACAGAGCCAUUUUACCCAGUGGAGCACCGAUUUCGACUGAUUCAGUGAUUGUUGAGCGGGUCACUCCACCAGGUCUUCACGCCUUCACUCCAGCUACUUCUGCAGAUAACAACAAAUUCAUAGCAGUAGCUACGAGAAGACCCGAUUCGGAUUAUCGCCAUAUAGAGCUAUAUGACCUUGUUAAGAACGAGUUUAUCGAGUUAACUCGGUUAUUAUCACCCCAAACUCAUCACUUGAAUCCGUUUAUCUCACCUGACUCAACCCGAGUUGGGUACCACAGGUGUAGAGGAGCCUCUAACGAUAAAAAGAGCGCCCACUUUCUGUUAGAAAAUCUCAAUAGCCCAGUAUCAGAGAUUUCACUCUUUAGAGUCGACGGGUCAUUCCCUUCUUGGUCACCUGGGGGUGACCGUAUCGCUUACGUUGAAUUUCCGGGCAUCUACGUCGUGAACCCGGACGGCUCCAACCGGCGUCAGGUUUAUCCUAAAAUGGCGUUCUCGACCGUUUGGGACCCCGUUCGUCCAGGGGUUGUAUACUCUAGUACUGGUCCCACUUUUGCCAGUGAGAGUACAGAGGUUGAUAUAAUCUCCAUUAACGUUGAUGGUGAAGCUGAUGAAGCUUAUAAUUUCAAGAAGCUGACCACUAACGGUGAGAACAAUGCAUUUCCUGCUGUGUCGCCGGAUGGGAAAUGGGUAGUGUUCCGGUCGGGUCGAUCGGGUCACAAAAACUUGUAUGUAAUGGAUGCGGUGGAAGGUGAGAAAGGCGGACUCCGACGGUUAACGGAGGGUCCAUGGGGCGACACUAUGUGUAGUUGGUCACCGGAUGGUGAAUGGAUUGCGUUUGCAUCGGAUCGGGAGAACCCGGGUUCUGGUAGCUUCGAAUUGUUUCUGAUCCACCCGAAUGGAACGGGGUUGAGAAAGUUGGUUCAAAGCGGGUUGGGUGGCAGAACUAACCAUCCAUAUUUUAGCCCAGAUGGGAAGAGUAUAGCGUUUACUACAGAUUACGCUGGAAUAUCAGCUGAGCCAAUUUCGAACCCACAUCAUUAUCAGCCUUAUGGAGAGAUCUAUACGGUGAAAUUGGACGGCUCUGAUUUGAAGAGGUUGACACAUAAUUCUUUCGAGGAUGGGACCCCAGCAUGGGGCCCCACAUAUAUUAAGCCAGAAGAUGUGGAGUGGCCAAUUUAUAGACCAAAGUGCUCGUUUGAGGAGUGUCACUGGCUCAAUGAAAUGCCGAGCCACAGUGGUGGGGUUGAAACUUUGGAGCCAAGCAAGCCUCAAUGUAGUGGUGCAUAGCAUCGGUUUAUGUCGUAAAGAUUGUAAUUAAAAAAUAAUGUAAUAUGACGCGUAGAUUGUAAAUAUAUGUAUAUAGAAUGAUUUUAUAUGUUUCUUGCAAGUUUUACCCACACACAAGUCCCCACCUUGUCUAUAUUGCCAUUAUGGCAAAUCCUUAGGCAGAAGUGCAGGCUUUUUCUAAGUGUGUAUGUGUUGUACCCAUUCUUGAUUAAAUAUCAGUAGUGGGUGCAGCUUGAUACAAUCGGACUAACAGCCAUGCUAGGAUAGCAAACAAGAUUAUCAGCACUAAAAUUUUUGCUGAAGAGAGCAAACUCAGCAGAACCUAAACCAAUAAGCGAAAAACUACUGGCAUGUUACAAGAUCAAGAGGAGGUGAAAAGGGAAAAAAAUGAUACAAUGAGGAAGAGUACAUGUAUUCCAUUGCUUGAAACCAGAAGAGCUACUAACAUUGAUUUUCACUUGAAGUUUCCAGCGGAGCAUUGGAAGAGUAAUGCAACUGUUUUAGCAGCUUUGGUUGUGGAAGAAUUCUUGAGGUAUUGAAGGAGGAGGGCAGUAUUUCUUUGCUACGAAUUUGUACUGAGGAAAAAAAUAAACAAUUCAAGUUAAGGGUUGCAUUUUACUGCUAAUCACCAGUGUUUAUACACUGUAGUUGAAAAAGAGAGCAAGAGCACAAUGUAAGUUUUGCUUACCUUAUGUUGGCUGUAUUUCUCCCGGAUUGCAGGUAAGGUAGAAUUAUGGCUGUUACAGCACAGGCGGUGGAGAUCCUUCGCACAUUCACACAAAUCUGAAGGCUGGUAAAGAGUGUAAUGCUGCAAAGUAGAAUUCUGUUCCAAAACAGAAGGAUGAUCCAAGGCAUUAGACUUUAGUUUAAGCAGCGGAGCGGAAGCACCAUUAGAAAAAUCAGUCUCUGAUCACACACAUACCCAUGGUCUUCUCGAAGGAAGAAGUAUAUAUUUAGCCAAGAAAAUUGCAGAGGCAGCAAUGAGUGAUGGAGCAUAGCCAAGCAUACUGUACUCGAGGAGAGAUAAUUCAGUGAUGUAGUUGGCCAAGCACUCCAACUGCAUCGAUGGAACCUAGGAAAAACAGCAACCCAUCUUUUAAAGAUGCCAAAAUCUUAGAAAUAAGCUAAAAUGUAACCAUGAGAAUAAAAAAUUUGUUAUGGCGCUAGAAGCAUGGAGUUACUAUUAGUGUUAGCCUUUUACUUGACCACUUUUUGCUCUCAGUUUGUCAUGAGUUCUUAUUUACCAUCCAAUGAAGCUGAUCUGCUGUCAAAAACUAGAUUAUGACACAUGAGUAAAUAUGCGGAGCAAAGUUCUAAAUACACAAGGAUGGAUACCUCAUAAAUUCCUUGAGCAGCACGAACAAAUCGU